rnacentral:rRNA from 1 species
CCUACGGGUGGCUGCAGUGAGGAAUAUUGGUCAAUGGGCGCGAGCCUGAACCAGCCAAGUAGCGUGAAGGAUGACUGCCCUACGGGUUGUAAACUUCUUUUAUAAAGGACUAAAGUGAGGCACGUGUGCCUUUUUGUAUGUACUUUAUGAAUAAGGAUCGGCUAACUCCGUGCCAGCAGCCGCGGUAAUCCGGCGGAUCCUAGCGUUAUCCGGAUUUAUUGGGGUUAAAGGGAGCGUAGAUGGGUUGUUAAGUCAGUUGGGAAAGUUUGCGGAGCAACCGUAAAAUUGCAAUUGAUACUGGCAGCCUUGAGUACAGUUGAGGUAGGCGGAAUUCGUGGUGUAGCGGUGAAAUGCUUAGAUAUCACGCAGAACUCCGAUUGCGAAGGCAGCCUACUAAACUGCCACUGACAUUGAUGCUCGAAAGUGUGGGUAUCAAACAGGAGUAGAUACCCUUGUAGUC